CUUUUGAAGAGAUUGGUUGCCUUCACUCAAGCAAAAGCAAGGUGUUAUGCUGUCAUUUUUCAUCUGAUGGGAGACUAUUAGCCAGUGCUGGCCAUGACAAGAAGGUUUCUAUUUGGAACAUGCAAACUUUUGAUUUCGUUAAUUCUUCAGAAGGACAUUCACUUCUGGUUACAGAUGUUCGGUUUAGACCAAAUUCAACCAUACUUGCCACAUCUUCCUUUGAUAGAACAUUGCAAAUAUGGGAUGCAUCCAAACCAAGCAAACCACUGUUCAAGCUUCUUGGGCAUGCUGACCAAGUGAUGGCAUUGGAUUUCCAUCCAAGAAAGGUGGAUCUGCUUUGCUCAUGUGAUAGUAAUGAUGAGAUCCGAUUAUGGAAUGUCAACCGUUGUGCUUGCACACAUGUUUCUAAGGGAGCGACUAAGCAAGUCAGAUUCCAGCCUCAAUGUGGCAAGUUAUUGGCUACUUCCACCAGAAAUAAUAUCAAUGUAAUUGAUGUUGAGAAUGAUACUGGUGUCCAAUUCAAUUUGAAGGGGCAUGCCGAAGAUGUCCUUUCUCUUUCCUGGGAUAUAAGUGGGAAGUAUAUUGCAUCUGUUAGUGCAGACAGCGCACGAAUAUGGUCACUUGUGUCAGGUGGAAGAUGCAUUCAUGAAUUGCAUUCAAAUGGCAACAAGUUCCAAUCAUGCACCUUUCAUCCUGGAUAUUCACAGCUCCUGAUAAUUGGCAGCUACCAGUCACUUGAGUUAUGGAAUCCAAUUGAGGGAAACAAAACAUGGUCAGUCCCAGCGCAUAGUGGGUUAAUUGCUGCACUGGCCGACUCACCACAGGCUGAAACGAUUGCAUCAGCAAGCCAUGACCAAUGUGUCAAGUUGUGGAAAUGAAACCCUUCGAGUUGCAGAUGCCUCCAUGUAAACUAUUUACUCGCAUGUCUGCCUAUGCAGUUUUGUGAACACAUCUUAUAGGUUCAAGAUACUUUUCUUGGGUUGACUUCUGACAGCUGUAGAUGGUAAUAUUGGCGACGUCCAUUUGUCAAGAAUAAAUGCUGCACUGCUGAAGAUACAGAAGUUAUCAUAGCAUGACAGACAAAAGAUUGAAUACUUGGAAUUGUAUCUUACACAGGUUUAUAAACCCACAUAUAAUCAGAUGUAUGAAUCAUGAAAAAGAUUUAGUAAAAUGCUGUCAUAUUAGCUUCCCG
rnacentral:misc_RNA from 1 species